rnacentral:rRNA from 1 species
UACGAAGGGGGCUAGCGUUGUUCGGAAUUACUGGGCGUAAAGCGCGCGUAGGCGGUGAUCUUUGUCAGAGGUGAAAGCCUGGGGCUCAACCCCAGAAUUGCCUUUGAAACGGGAUCGCUAGAGUCCGAGAGAGGAUGGCGGAAUUCCUAGUGUAGAGGUGAAAUUCGUAGAUAUUAGGAAGAACACCGGUGGCGAAGGCGGCGACCUGGUCCGUGACUGACGCUGAGGCGCGAAAGCGUGGGGAGCAAACAGG